rnacentral:rRNA from 1 species
UUCCUUCGGGAAGUGGAUUAGCGGCGGACGGGUGAGUAACACGUGGGUAACCUGCCUCAAAGUGGGGGAUAGCCUUCCGAAAGGAAGAUUAAUACCGCAUAACAUAAGAGAAUCGCAUGAUUUUUUUAUCAAAGAUUUAUUGCUUUGAGAUGGACCCGCGGCGCAUUAGCUAGUUGGUAAGGUAACGGCUUACCAAGGCAACGAUGCGUAGCCGACCUGAGAGGGUGAUCGGCCACAUUGGAACUGAGACACGGUCCAGACUCCUACGGGAGGCAGCAGUGGGGAAUAUUGCGCAAUGGGGGAAACCCUGACGCAGCAACGCCGCGUGGGUGAUGAAGGUCUUCGGAUUGUAAAGCCCUGUUUUCUGGGACGAUAAUGACGGUACCAGAGGAGGAAGCCACGGCUAACUACGUGCCAGCAGCCGCGGUAAUACGUAGGUGGCGAGCGUUGUCCGGAUUUACUGGGCGUAAAGGGUGCGUAGGCGGAUGUUUAAGUGGGAUGUGAAAUCCCCGGGCUUAACCUGGGGGCUGCAUUCCAAACUGGAUAUCUAGAGUGCAGGAGAGGAAAGCGGAAUUCCUAGUGUAGCGGUGAAAUGCGUAGAGAUUAGGAAGAACACCAGUGGCGAAGGCGGCUUUCUGGACUGUAACUGACGCUGAGGCACGAAAGCGUGGGUAGCAAACAGGAUUAGAUACCCUGGUAGUCCACGCCGUAAACGAUGGAUACUA